rnacentral:rRNA from 1 species
UACGUAGGGGGCAAGCGUUAUCCGGAUUUACUGGGUGUAAAGGGAGCGUAGACGGCAAUGCAAGUCUGGAGUGAAAGGCGGGGGCCCAACCCCCGGACUGCUCUGGAAACUGUAUAGCUGGAGUGCAGGAGAGGUAAGUGGAAUUCCUAGUGUAGCGGUGAAAUGCGUAGAUAUUAGGAGGAACACCAGUGGCGAAGGCGGCUUACUGGACUGUAACUGACGUUGAGGCUCGAAAGCGUGGGUAUCAAACAGG